rnacentral:pre_miRNA from 1 species
CAGCUCAUCCUCAGGUAGCCUUGUAGUAUGUAGCAAGCUGCCUGAUGAAGAGCUGUCC